rnacentral:misc_RNA from 1 species
UGAAUAGCAGUCAAUGAGACUAGUACUAAUAGGGAAGUUAACAGGGAAUGAGGGUCGUGACUGGAAGCCUUCUUAAUGAAACGAUUAGGAAUUCACUCAAUCAAUGACGAGGUAAUUAAGGUCUGACUUGCUCAGAUGAAAACGGAUGGUACCGCGUGUCAACGCUCCGCUU